GAUGAACGCUGGCGGCGUGCCUAAUACAUGCAAGUCGAGCGAACAGACGCUGAGCUUGCUCCUCUGUCGUUUGCGGCGGACGGGUGUGUAACACGUGUAUACCCUCCCUAUCUUACUGGGAUAACUUCGGGAAACCGGCGCUAAUCCCGGAUAAUCUAUUGCACCACGUGGUUCAUUGGUAAAAUUCGGUUUUGCUGUCUCUUCUCGCUGCAUCCGGGCCGGUUUAGCUAGUUGGUAAGGUAACGGCUUACCAAGGCAACCAUGCGUAACCGACCUGCGAGGGUGAUAGGCGACACUGGAACGGAGACACGGUCCAGACGACUAAGGGAGGCAGCAGUAGGGAAUGGGACGCAAUGGGCGAAAGCAUGACGGAGCAAGGGCGCGUGAGUGAUGAAGGUCUUCGGAGCGUAAAAAUCGGUUAUGAGGGAAGAACAAAUGUGGAAGGAACUAUGCACGUCGUGACGGUACCUAAUAAGAAAGCAACGGCUAACUACGUG
rnacentral:rRNA from 1 species